UUCUACGACCAUGCUGCUCUGAACAAGCCCGAUCCUGUCUGAUUUUGGAAGCUAAGCAGGGUUGGGCCUGGUUAGUACUUGGAUGGGAGACCACCUAGGAAGACCAAGUGCUGUAGGGG
rnacentral:rRNA from 1 species